GGCUGCCACUCCCGGGGCAGCAGGGUAAGUGGUGCUUAUCACGUGCCCGGAAUCACCUGACUAGCAGCGGCUGAAGUGGGGGGGCGCGGGGGGAGGAGUCACGAGGAGAUCGGCAGGGCCGCGCCUCUCCUCGGUCUCCGGGCUUUCGCCCUGGGGGCAGCCCGCACGCACCUCUGCCUUCCCUGCGCGUGCUGGGCUGCUCCCCGCCUCCUUCCGGGCUCCGAGUGUACCGCAGGGAAGAUGCUUCUAGGCGUCUGGUUUUCCUGUGGUCUCCUUGUUGCUGUCAUCCAGAACCAGUGGUUGAAGAUUCUGUCUACAUGCCCUGGGGCCUGACUUCGAAUGAUGGUCUUUGGAUGACAGGCCCAACACCUGGGCCUUUUCCUUCUGCAGCAGACUCGAUCCUUCCAUAAACAAUGGACUGAGGUUCCUCGGAUUUUGCUCCAAGAAUGACUUUUCAGGAAAGAACUGGAUCCAGGCCUCCCCCGAGCUGGUUCUCUUGUUCCUCACCUUCUCCUGCUUCGAAGUCUGUGAUUCUUCAUGUCUCCUCUCUAGUCUAUAAAUUGGCAAAGUCACCUGCAGCAACUUCUUUUUCUUGGGCUUGAUCUUUCUUCCCUUCGGGACAUGUUCUUGAAGAAAAUCAGGGUUUUGAGGAGCUUUUGGCCCCCUACUUGGUGACAUGUUGCCGUCUCCUAUGGUUGUGUCUUUCGACAAGUCUCCGUGGCUCUGUAGUGGAAGGCUUUGAAAUUUUUCUUCUGGUAUAUUCACCCUGUAAGGGAAGUCCACUGCCCUUUCUUUUCCAUGGGUCUCUAUUGGGGGCCAAAGAUUUUUCUUUGGCCAUAUGCUAUUCGAUGUAUUUAUAAAGGAAUUUCCUUGGAUCCCAGA